rnacentral:lncRNA from 1 species
GAGAAAAUCCAAAUCUAGAAAUUAUUAAGCAAAGAGAGUUCGAAUUACAUGAAAUUAUGACGUGAAAUCUCCAAAUCCAAUGAGUUCCUUCGUUGCUUCACCGAGUUCCUUAGUUUUCCUUGGAGUUUCUUGAGCACCAAGAUGAAAGAAAUAGGUCUGGGGGCGUCUCCCUUCGUUCUGGGUGGUUUUGGGCAUUUAUAUCCCGUGAAAAUUAGGUUACCAUAAGAGAUUCAAUCGUAUAAGGAAACUGAGAUUCGGCCGCCAAAAAAGCAC